AGUGAACGCUGGCGGUAGGCCUAACACAUGCAAGUCGAACGGCCGCACAGUAAGAGCUUGCUCUUACGGGUGGCGAGUGGCGGACGGGUGAGGAAUACAUCGGAAUCUACUUUUUCGUGGGGGAUAACGUAGGGAAACUUACGCUAAUACCGCAUACGACCUACGGGUGAAAGCAGGGGAUCUUCGGACCUUGCGCGAUUGAAUGAGCCGAUGUCGGAUUAGCUAGUUGGCGGGGUAAAGGCCCACCAAGGCGACGAUCCGUAGCUGGUCUGAGAGGAUGAUCAGCCACACUGGAACUGAGACACGGUCCAGACUCCUACGGGAGGCAGCAGUGGGGAAUAUUGGACAAUGGGCGCAAGCCUGAACCAGCCAUACCGCGUGGGUGAAGAAGGCCUUCGGGUUGUAAAGCCCUUUUGUUGGGAAAGAAAAGCAGCAGGUUAAUACCCCGCUGUUCUGACGGUACCCAAAGAAUAAGCACCGGCUAACUUCGUG
rnacentral:rRNA from 1 species